UCAAGUAAUUAAGUGCAUGUGGUGGAUGCCUUGGCAGUCAGAGGCGAUGAAAGACGUGAUAGCCUGCGAAAAGCUCCGGGGAGGCGGCAAAUAUCCUUUGAUCCGGAGAUGUCUGAAUGGGGGAACCCACCUACUUUAAGGUAGGUAUUGCAACAUGAAUACAUAGUGUUGCAAGGCGAACGAGGGGAAGUGAAACAUCUCAGUACCCUUAGGAAAAGAAAUCAAUUGAGAUUCCCUCAGUAGCGGCGAGCGAACGGGGAUCAGCCCAUUAAGUUAUGUGUGUUUUAGUGGAACGCUCUGGGAAGUGCGAACGUAGAGGGUGAUAUUCCCGUACACGAAAGGGCACACAUAAUGAUGACGAGUAGGGCGAGGCACGUGAAACCUUGUCUGAAUAUGGGGGGACCAUCCUCCAAGGCUAAAUACUCCUGACUGACCGAUAGUGAACCAGUACCGUGAGGGAAAGGCGAAAAGAACCCCUGUGAGGGGAGUGAAAUAGAUCCUGAAACCGCAUGCAUACAAGCAGUGGGAGCACCUUCGUGGUGUGACUGCGUACCUUUUGUAUAAUGGGUCAGCGACUUAUAUUCAGUAGCGAGGUUAACCGUAUAGGGGAGCCGUAGAGAAAUCGAGUCUUAAUAGGGCGUUUAGUUGCUGGGUAUAGACCCGAAACCAGGCGAUCUAUCCAUGAGCAGGUUGAAGGUUGGGUAACACUAACUGGAGGACCGAACCCACUGUCGUUGAAAAGCCAGGGGAUGACUUGUGGAUAGGGGUGAAAGGCUAAUCAAGCCUGGUGAUAGCUGGUUCUCCCCGAAAGCUAUUUAGGUAGCGCCUCGGACGAAUACCAUAGGGGGUAGAGCACUGUUUCGGCUAGGGGGUCAUCCCGACUUACCAAACCGAUGCAAACUCCGAAUACCUAUGAGUACUAUCCGGGAGACAGACUGCGGGUGCUAACGUCCGUAGUCAAGAGGAAAACAAUCCAGACCGCCAGCUAAGGCCCCAAAAUCAUAGUUAAGUGGGAAACGAUGUGGGAAGGCAUAGACAGCUAGGAGGUUGGCUUAGAAGCAGCCACCCUUUAAAGAAAGCGUAAUAGCUCACUAGUCGAGUCGGCCUGCGCGGAAGAUGUAACGGGGCUAAAACUAUGUGCCGAAGCUGCGGAUGUAUACUUUGUAUACGUGGUAGGGGAGCGUUCUGUAAGCCGAUGAAGGUGUGUUGAGAAGCAUGCUGGAGGUAUCAGAAGUGCGAAUGCUGACGUGAGUAACGACAAAACGGGUGAAAAACCCGUUCGCCGAAAGACCAAGGGUUCCAGUCCAACGUUAAUCGGGGCUGGGUGAGUCGACCCCUAAGGCGAGGCCGAAAGGCGUAGUCGAUGGGAAAAUGGUUAAUAUUCCAUUACUUCUGUGUAAUGCGAUGAGAGGACGGAGAAGGCUAAAUCAGCCUGGCGUUGGUUGUCCAGGUGAAAGGAUGUAGGCAUGUAUCUUAGGCAAAUCCGGGGUACUCUAUGCUGAGAUCUGAUAGCAAGCUGUACUUGUACAGCGAAGUGGUUGAUGCCAUGCUUCCAGGAAAAGUCUCUAAGCUUCAGUUACACAGGAAUCGUACCCGAAACCGACACAGGUGGUCAGGUCGAGUAGACCAAGGCGCUUGAGAGAACUCUGCUGAAGGAACUAGGCAAAAUGGUACCGUAACUUCGGGAGAAGGUACGCUGUUGUUGGUGAUGGAACUCGCUUCCUGAGCUGACGACAGCCGCAGAAACCAGGCCGCUGCAACUGUUUAUUAAAAACAUAGCACUCUGCAAACACGAAAGUGGACGUAUAGGGUGUGAUGCCUGCCCGGUGCUGGAAGGUUAAUUGAUGGGGUUAGCGUAAGCGAAGCUCUUGAUCGAAGCCCCAGUAAACGGCGGCCGUAACUAUAACGGUCCUAAGGUAGCGAAAUUCCUUGUCGGGUAAGUUCCGACCUGCACGAAUGGCAUAAUGAUGGCGGCGCUGUCUCCAGCAGAGGCUCAGUGAAAUCGAAAUCGCUGUGAAGAUGCAGUGUACCCGCGGCUAGACGGAAAGACCCCGUGAACCUUUACUGCAGCUUGACACUGAACUUUGACCUUACUUGUGUAGGAUAGGUGGGAGGCUUUGAAGCUGGAACGCUAGUUCCAGUGGAGCCGUCCUUGAAAUACCACCCUGGUAAUGUUGAGGUUCUAACUCUGUCCCGUGAUCCGGGACGAGGACCGUGUCUGGUGGGUAGUUUGACUGGGGCGGUCUCCUCCUAAAGAGUAACGGAGGAGUACGAAGGUGCGCUCAGCGUGGUCGGAAAUCACGCGUAGAGUAUAAAGGCAAAAGCGCGCUUAACUGCGAGACCCACAAGUCGAGCAGGUACGAAAGUAGGUCUUAGUGAUCCGGUGGUUCUGUAUGGAAGGGCCAUCGCUCAACGGAUAAAAGGUACUCUGGGGAUAACAGGCUGAUACCGCCCAAGAGUUCAUAUCGACGGCGGUGUUUGGCACCUCGAUG
rnacentral:rRNA from 1 species